UACGGGGGGAGCAAGCGUUGUUCGGAUUUACUGGGCGUAAAGGGCGCGUAGGCGGUCGUGACAAGUCACUUGUGAAAUCUCCGGGCUUAACUCGGAACGGUCAAGUGAUACUGUCGGGCUUGAGCACGGUAGAGGCAGAUGGAAUUCCCGGUGUAGCGGUGGAAUGCGUAGAGAUCGGGAAGAACAUCGGUGGCGAAGGCGGUCUGCUGGGCCGUUGCUGACGCUGAGGCGCGACAGCGUGGGGAGCAAACAGG
rnacentral:rRNA from 1 species